rnacentral:rRNA from 1 species
UAUCUCUGUAGAGUCUGCAUAUCAAUAAGCGGAGGAAAAGAAACUAACUAGGAUUCCCUCAGUAACGGCGAGUGAAGCGGGAAGAGCUCAAAUUUGAAAUCUUCAAGGUUCUACCUUGACGAAUUGUAGUUUAAAGAAGUGUCUUCUGUUGGAGUUCUGGUAAAAGUUCUUUGGAAUAGGACAUCAUAGAGGGUGAGAAUCCCGUAUUUGACCAUUACUUUCAGCGUUGUGAUACACUUUCAAAGAGUCGGAUUGUUUGGGAAUGCAGUCCAAAAUGGGUGGUAAAUUUCAUCUAAAGCUAAAUAUUGGCGAGAGACCGAUAGCGAACAAGUACCGUGAGGGAAAGAUGAAAAGAACUUUGAAAAGAGAGUUAAACAGUACGUGAAAUUGUCAAAAGGGAAGCGUUUGACACCAGUGUUGUUUUCUCGAAAAUCAAUUAAAAAAGGUUGGAUUUUGUAUUGUUAAGACCUUAUCAGCUUACUGUACUCUUUUCUUGCUUUUUUUAAUGCACUUUUCGUUUAACAAGUCAACAUCAAUUUCUUUUGUUGUAAAAGAGUCAUUGGAAGGUGGCUUUCACUUCGGUGAAAGUGUUUAUAGCCUUUGGCUUCUGCAAUCGGAGAGAUUGAGGUCUGCAGCGUAGAUCCUUCGGGGUUAGAUACAUUUGUGCUAAGUUAUAGCCUUUCAUAGACAACUUGUUGACUACGAUCAGUCAUGUAGCUUACUCGCUUAUGCUAUUUUACCUACGCUUAGGAUGUUGACGAUCAGCUGAGCGCG